UACGGCUCAGUAACACGUAGUCAACAUGCCCAAAGGAUGUGGAUAACCUCGGGAAACUGAGGAUAAACCGCGAUAGGCCAAGGUUUCUGGAAUGAGCCAUGGCCGAAAUCUAUAUGGCCUUUGGAUUGGACUGCGGCCGAUCAGGCUGUUGGUGAGGUAAUGGCCCACCAAACCUGUAACCGGUACGGGCUUUGAGAGAAGGAGCCCGGAGAUGGGCACUGAGACAAGGGCCCAGGCCCUAUGGGGCGCAGCAGGCGCGAAACCUCUGCAAUAGGCGAAAGCUUGACAGGGUUACUCUGAGUGAUGCCCGCUAAGGGUAUCUUUUGGCACCUCUAAAAAUGGUGCAGAAUAAGGGGUGGGCAAGUCUGGUGUCAGCCGCCGCGGUAAUACCAGCACCCCGAGUUGUCGGGACGAUUAUUGGGCCUAAAGCAUCCGUAGCCUGUUCUGCAAGUCCUCCGUUAAAUCCACCUGCUCAACGGAUGGGCUGCGGAGGAUACCGCAGAGCUAGGAGGCGGGAGAGGCAAACGGUACUCAGUGGGUAGGGGUAAAAUCCAUUGAUCUACUGAAGACCACCAGUGGCGAAGGCGGUUUGCCAGAACGCGCUCGACGGUGAGGGAUGAAAGCUGGGGGAGCAAACCGGAUUAGAUACCCGGGUAGUCCCAGCUGUAAACGAUGCAGACUCGGUGAUGGGUUGGCUUCGAGCCAACCCAGUGCCGCAGGGAAGCCGUUAAGUCUGCCGCCUGGGGAGUACGGUCGCAAGACUGAAACUUAAAGGAAUUGGCGGGGGAG
rnacentral:rRNA from 1 species